AGCGGCCCGAGUUUGGAGAAAGUAAUCCACUAAAAGAGGUGGUGAGUGUUCGUUGCAAGGCAAGGAGCCAGCGGAGGAGUAGCUACUUGUGAUUUUCUCGCCUAAGUUGCUUUGGCAGCCAGUAGCCUGGUGGCGAGGCAAAGUGCUGGGCACUCACUUACUUCCUGUCUUUCUUAUUCUAGUAUUAUGCAUGGUUGUUUUUUUUAGC